rnacentral:lncRNA from 10 species
AGUACAAGACAGAUUUGAACUGGACUUUUGUUUCCUCAGAAGUUAACUUGCAAUGUGAAGCUUUCCUUUUCUCAAAAACUUGGUGUCAUAGUGUUGGCUUCUAGUGCAGUGAGCCCCUUUUGCUGGAUAACCUUACCUGGUAAUUUGACAUACUAGGUGGUUAGUAACUACUGACUGUCUCCAGGUUACAACACAGUUAUUACCCACUUGGGUGAAAAGAGAAGACAGGAAAUACAUUUUGGAGUUGGCUGGCAACCUGUUUACAAAGCAAUUUACAACAGUUCCUUAUUCUUAAGGGGCUAUUCUAAUACAAGACCUCAGAGAAACAGUGCAGUGUGACAAAGGAGGAAUUUAUCAAAGGAGACAGAAAAAGCAUCAAGGCAAGCUGUGAAAUGGUGCGGUAGGAACCAAAUAGAGAGCCAAAGGAUCUUUCUGUCACUGCAGGCCCUUAGGGAGAAUGUACAACUCCUCUGCCACAACGUGAGGGAGAGAAGUCUGCAGACGGCUGACUGGUGACGACUGAACAAGACGGAAAGGCAAGUCGCUAUGCCCGAAGCCUUUGAAGGGAGCCAGCAGGGUCCAUGGGAGGUUCAGGACACAUAUCUGCAGCCCUGCUUCUGGCCCCACCCUUGGGGAAGCCUUUUGCAGGUGAUCCUGGGCCUCUGCUGGGGAAGGCCCCAAGAGGUGAAGCAUCCUCUGCAGAGGAGAGAGCACAUCCGGAAGUAGAAGACAGACCACUGUCUGGGCUCCGUUUAACUGCUGUGAUUUGGGAUUGUAACUUACUCCCGUAAAGCCUCAGUUUCCCACAUGGAAAAUCAAAUCGAUCAUUGUUAUAACAUUU